rnacentral:rRNA from 1 species
AACGAACGCUGGCGGCAGGCCUAACACAUGCAAGUCGAGCGCCUCGCAAGGGGAGCGGCGGACGGGUGAGUAACGCGUGGGAACGUACCCUUUGCUACGGAAUAGCCUCGGGAAACUGGGAGUAAUACCGUAUGUGCCCUUCGGGGGAAAGAUUUAUCGGCAAAGGAUCGGCCCGCGUCGGAUUAGGUAGUUGGUGGGGUAAUGGCCUACCAAGCCGACGAUCCAUAGCUGGUUUGAGAGGAUGAUCAGCCACACUGGGACUGAGACACGGCCCAGACUCCUACGGGAGGCAGCAGUGGGGAAUCUUAGACAAUGGGCGCAAGCCUGAUCUAGCCAUGCCGCGUGAGCGAUGAAGGCCUUAGGGUUGUAAAGCUCUUUCAGUGGGGAAGAUAAUGACUGUACCCACAGAAGAAGCCCCGGCUAACUCCGUG